rnacentral:misc_RNA from 1 species
UGUGGGAGGGGGCUUGCUCCCGAUAGCGGAGUGUCAGUCAGUGCAUCUUUUGCUGACAGACUGCUAUCGGGGGCAAGCCCCCUCCCCCA